CUUGGCUAUAGAGCUUCAUUUUUGUGAUUGAGACAUUAGACUUUAACUUAUGUCACAUACACAAAAAUGAGGCUCUGUAGUCAAG